ACCUGAGUGGCUCAGUCAGUUAAGCGUCUGACUUCGGCUCAGGUCAUGAGACAAUCGCGGUUUGUGGGUUUGAGCCCCACGUCAGGCU
rnacentral:tRNA from 1 species